UACGUAGGGACCGAGCGUUGUCCGGAAUCAUUGGGCGUAAAGAGCGUGUAGGCGGCCACUUAAGUCCUGCGUGAAAUCUUGCGGCUCAACCGCAAGCGUCGUGGGAAACUGGGUGGCUAGAGUGCGGGAGAGGAGAGUGGAAUUCCUGGUGUAGCGGUGGAAUGCGCAGAUAUCAGGAGGAACACCAAUUGCGAAGGCAGCUCGCUGGGACGUUACUGACGCUGAGACGCGAAAGCGUGGGGAGCAAACAGG
rnacentral:rRNA from 1 species